rnacentral:rRNA from 1 species
GACGAACGCUGGCGGCGUGCUUAACACAUGCAAGUCGAACGGAAAGGCCCUGCUUUUGUGGGGUGCUCGAGUGGCGAACGGGUGAGUAACACGUGAGUAACCUGCCCUUGACUUUGGGAUAACGUCAGGAAACUGGGGCUAAUACCGGAUAGGAGCUCCUGCUGCAUGGUGGGGGUUGGAAAGUUUCGGCGGUUGGGGAUGGACUCGCGGCUUAUCAGCUUGUUGGUGGGGUAGUGGCUUACCAAGGCUUUGACGGGUAGCCGGCAUGAGAGGGUGACCGGCCACAUUGGGACUGAGAUACGGCCCAGACUCCUACGGGAGGCAGCAGUGGGGAAUAUUGCACAAUGGGCGGAAGCCUGAUGCAGCGACGCCGCGUGCGGGAUGACGGCCUUCGGGUUGUAAACCGCUUUCGCCUGUGACGAAGCGUGAGUGACGGUAAUGGGUAAAGAAGCACCGGCUAACUACGUG